rnacentral:lncRNA from 12 species
GUCGUGCUCUCCGCCGCCCCUCCGCCGCCUCCCUCGGCCGGCCCGCCCGUCCUGGCGGAAGGAGGGACCCGGGGCCGAACCUCCCUAGACCCUUCGUUGGCUUUUCCAGCUCCAAAUUGGGGCCCGCCGGCCCCUCGACCCCGGACAGCAGCAGAGGCGCAAGAAUUCGGGGUAGCAGUCGGGGCACCGCGCGGACUCCGCCCCGACUCUUGUUUCCCUAAGACCCGAGGCCAGGGCUCUCCCGCCCCAGGCCGCGACCAGGUACCGCGGAACGGCGUCGGGUCCCCCCGGCCCCCGCGGCGCGCGGCGGGAGGGGGGGCGGCACCUGCCGCCGGGGGCGCCCCGCUCUGGAGCGCGGCGGAGGGAAGGCCGCGGGGCAAGAACGAGCCGAUCUCCCCGCCCCCACGCCCAGCGCCUGGACACGCAGAAGCCCUCCGAACCUCGGAAGCGAGCAGGAAGCCGAACCGCCACCCCCCAGCGCCCUCUGUUUGGGGAGACGGCGCCCCCAGAUGGCUGCGCCGAGUCCCGCGGAAGGAUGCUGCGGCCCGCGCGGCCCCGGGUCCGGCCCGAAGCGGGAGGGCCCGGGACCGCGGCCCCGGGCGGGCGGUGACGUCACCCAGCGGCCUGCGAGCGGGAGACCCCCGCCGGGUCUGGCCGCGACCCCCGAGGCCGCCCGGGCCGCGCCUACGCCUGGUGCGCACGCGUCAUACCAGCGGCUGGCCCUGGCGGUGGGACCUGCUUCCAGCGCCUCAAGCCCCCGUGCCUCAGUGUCCCCCCGGGGCGCCUUACUUGCAAAGCGACGACCCCCACACCCACCUGGGGGCGGCCCUGAGGAUUUCGGGGGACGGAGUGCCCUGCAGCCCGUGUGCUAGUGCGGCGGGUCGCCCCUCGCCAAGCUUCCCCAGCCUGCUGGCGCAGGGACCUGCGUGGGCCCGGCCCGGGGCUUGCGGGCCGUCGGGGCUUAAAGCCUCGCAGGAGGCCGCGCGUCCCGUGGGGAGCGUCCAAACCAGGCUCUCCGAGCGAAAGGCCGGGCGGUCAGUGGGACCGUGCCUCGGGGGCUCAGAAGCUGGUUUGCGGGUCGAGCGAGACUGCCCCUCCGGAGCCGGAGCCGGAGCCGGGGUUUGA